UACGUAGGUGGCAAGCGUUGUCCGGAAUUAUUGGGCGUAAAGCGCGCGCAGGCGGUUCUUUAAGUCUGAUGUGAAAGCCCACGGCUCAACCGUGGAGGGUCAUUGGAAACUGGAGAACUUGAGUACAGAAGAGGAAAGCGGAAUUCCACGUGUAGCGGUGAAAUGCGUAGAUAUGUGGAGGAACACCAGUGGCGAAGGCGACUCUCUGGGCUGUAACUGACGCUGAGGCGCGAAAGCGUGGGGAGCAAACAGG
rnacentral:rRNA from 1 species